rnacentral:lncRNA from 1 species
AUUUUCAGUCAUGUUUGAAAAUUACUUACCUCCCAUCCCUUCUUUCUCAAGAGACUUCAAGGAAAUAUGCUUCACUAGAAUGAGGGAAUAAAUCAUGAAACAGAAAAUUCCAGAACCAGCAAAAGGAGAAAUUCAGCAAUGGAGCAAAGCCUAGAUGUGCCACGUGGGACUGGAACACACCUUCUGCCAGACGCAACCCUGAAUUCAUUAAUUUGCCAUUUUCUUUACUCUCUGUGGGACCUGACAGACAAGCACCUCCAUGAAAGGAGUAUUUACCCAACACCAACACCUGCCAAGAAAAACAGAGAGAAAAACAGGAUGCAAAGAAGGUGGAAAGGAGAAUAGAUUGUGCCACCUGGGCUACACUUUCCAGAAUGAUCAACAGUCAGCCACAGGAAUGAGAAGCAUGUUACACGCAUCGCAGCUUUUUGAGACAUUAUGUUUCACAGCUAAAUGUUCUCCUCUGUCAUUGAGAACCAUCUGGACAUCUCCACUCAGGCAGGACUGAUGAUAGUUCCUCUACCCUCUCUCUGGGAUCACGCUUAUCAUCCUUGUCCUCCACAUUCUUCUGCACGGAUAAACAGA